ensembl:snRNA U6 U6 spliceosomal RNA
GUGCUUGCCUGAGCAGCACAUACACUAAAAUUGGAACAUUACAAAGGAGAUUAGUAUGGGCUUUGUGCAAGGAUUACAUUCAUUUUCAUGAAGCUUUCCACCCAGUA